GUAGGGAAUAUUGGACAAUGGGCGAAAGCCUGAUCCAGCAAUGCCGCGUGAGUGAUGAAGGCCUUAGGGUUGUAAAGCUCUUUUACCCGGGAUGAUAAUGACAGUACCGGGAGAAUAAGCUCCGGCUAACUCCGUGCCAGCAGCCGCGGUAAUACGGAGGGAGCUAGCGUUGUUCGGAAUUACUGGGCGUAAAGCGCACGUAGGCGGCUAUUCAAGUCAGAGGUGAAAGCCCGGGGCUCAACCCCGGAACUGCCUUUGAAACUAGAUAGCUUGAAUCCAGGAGAGGUGAGUGGAAUUCCGAGUGUAGAGGUGAAAUUCGUAGAUAUUCGGAAGAACACCAGUGGCGAAGGCGGCUCACUGGACUGGUAUUGACGCUGAGGUGCGAAAGCGUGGGGAGCAA
rnacentral:rRNA from 1 species